ACUUCCACAUAAAAGAACUGUGCUUAAACUGCAGAAUCCAGGUUCUCCUGCAUUGUGCAGUCGUGCUAGCAGAGUGCCAGCGUGGAAGGAGAGCGAACGUGCUGCGCCGCAAACGAGACGUGGCCGAACCUCUUUCUUAAUGUUCAGUGGCCGUCGUCUCGAGGCCCAGCACCACAUGU